rnacentral:rRNA from 1 species
GAUGAACGCUAGCUACAGGCUUAACACAUGCAAGUCGAGGGGCAGCAUGGUCUUAGCUUGCUAAGGCCGAUGGCGACCGGCGCACGGGUGAGUAACACGUAUCCAACCUGCCGUCUACUCUUGGACAGCCUUCUGAAAGGAAGAUUAAUACAAGAUGGCAUCAUGAGUCAGCAUGUUCACAUGAUUAAAGGUAUUCCGGUAGACGAUGGGGAUGCGUUCCAUUAGAUAGAAGGCGGGGUAACGGCCCACCUAGUCUUCGAUGGAUAGGGGUUCUGAGAGGAAGGUCCCCCACAUUGGAACUGCGACACGGUCCAAACUCCUACGCCCGGCAGCAGUGCCGACUAUUCGUCACUGGGCGCUGGCCCGCGCCAGCCACGUCACGUGAAGGAUGUCUGCCUUAUGGGUUGUAAUCUUCUUUUAUAAAGGAAUAAAGUCGGGUACGUAUACCCGUUUGCAUGUACUUUAUGAAUACGGAUCGGCUAACUCCGUG